rnacentral:rRNA from 1 species
UACGAAGGGUGCUAGCGUUGUUCGGAAUCACUGGGCGUAAAGCGCGCGUAGGCGGCUUUUCAAGUCAGGGGUGAAAUCCUGGAGCUUAACUCCAGAAUUGCCUUUGAAACUGUAAAGCUAGAGUGUCGGAGGGGAUAGCGGAAUUCCUAAUGUAGAGGUGAAAUUCGUAGAUAUUAGGAGGAACACCGGUGGCGAAGGCGGCUAUCUGGACGACAACUGACGCUUAGGUGCGAAAGCGCGGGGAUCAAACAGG